rnacentral:rRNA from 1 species
GGAGGAAAGUAGGGGAUCGCAAGACCUUGCGCUUUUGGAGCGGCCGAUGCCUGAUUAGCUUGUUGGUGAGGUAAAAGCUCACCAAGGCUCCGAUCAGUAGCUGGUCUGAGAGGACGACCAGCCACACUGGGACUGAGACACGGCCCAGACUCCUACGGGAGGCAGCAGUGGGGAAUUUUGGACAAUGGGGGCAACCCUGAUCCAGCCAUGCCGCGUGAGUGAAGAAGGCCUUCGGGUUGUAAAGCUCUUUCAGCCGGAACGAAACGGUCACGGUUAAUACCCGUGACUACUGACGGUACCGGAAGAAGAAGCACCGGCUAACUACGUGCCAGCAGCCGCGGUAAUACGUAGGGUGCGAGCGUUAAUCGGAAUUACUGGGCGUAAAGCGUGCGCAGGUGGUUUUGUAAGUCAGAUGUGAAAUCCCCGGGCUUAACCUGGGAACUGCGUUUGAAACUACAAGGCUAG